rnacentral:rRNA from 1 species
AGCGUAGACGGCGAGGCAAGUCUGAUGUGAAAGCCCGGGGCUCAACCCCGAGACUGCAUUGGAAACUGUCGGACUAGAGUGUCGGAGGGGUAAGUGGAAUUCCUAGUGUAGCGGUGAAAUGCGUAGAUAUUAGGAGGAACACCAGUGGCGAAGGCGGCUUACUGGACGAUAACUGACGCUGAGGCUCGAAAGCGUGGGGAGCAAACA